rnacentral:tRNA from 1 species
GCCGGGAUAGCUCAGCUGGCCAGAGCGCAUCCAUGGUAAGGAUGAGGUCACGGGUUCGAAUCCCGUUCCCGGCUCCA